ACCACAAAGAGAUCCUCAACCACAGAGAGGUUGAAUUGUAGCCAGCUUACAACCGUCAAUUUUUAUUUCGUACGAACCUUCCUGCGAAAAGCGAAGGACGUAUUGGCCGUCGAUCUGUCCUAGAAUCCUAAAUCGGAACUGCUUACUGUCCAAGGCACCUGUAUUAUUAGGGUUCCUUCUUCCAUCUUAACUGUGCCCAUUUUUGCUUUUGCUAAUCUUUGUGGAUUUCUGUUAGCAAGAGAAUCGCGAUGGCUUGCUUUUCUUUUGGAAUCAUUCGGCGGAACACCGACAUAUGCUUCAGAGAAUCUCAACUAUGGCGGAUCGAAGCGAGAUUUCAAUGCAGAGAGAAUUUGAUGUAGCAUGGAGAUCUGAAUCAAAGGUCUUGUUUUUGUGGUCUGUGUUUCGAAUGUUUCUUGGUUAUCAGACCUUUGCCAUGACAGGUGCCCUUGCUUGGCAGGUCACAAACAGUAAUAAAAAAAUAUCAUUUGUUUGAGGGGAGAUCGCACGGGGAUUUUGCCCGGGUUCUCCCCUCUGGUGUGCCGUGUCCUGCUUUUCUUUCUAUUGAUAUCUUCCUACUCGCUCCUGCGCACUCAAAUGGGAAUCCGAAUUAUCAACUCGGUCUCAAAAGUUUGCUAUGAGGGAUUUUAUCUGCAUUACUAGUUGAUAAUCACACUUUGGAAGAUGAAAAGACCUUCAUUUCAUCGAGGUUCGUAUUUUUGAUCGGAUACUGAAUUUUGUUUACCACUUUGUCAGGCUAUGCACUUCAAUUUGGCAUUGGGUUAUCAUUUCUAAUUCAAAUUCCAUUCCGAUUGUUACCCUUUCUGAAUAAUGCACAGCAAUGACACACAGCGUUUGGAAAUUUCAAAAUCACAGCAUUUGGAAAUUUCAAAAUCACAGCAUUUGGAAAUUUCAAAAUCUUUUGUACAGGAUGCCAUGAAUUUAAACAAUGUACUAAUAUCUAUUAUGUAUUACCUAUCUCUCCGCCCUUGGAUUCAUGUUGUGGUUAUUCAAAAAUACCCCAUUUUCAUACUGCGCAACAUGAAAGGAGAAUGAAACUUGAAGCUUCUGCCAAGGCAGGACAUGGAUCCUUUCUACUCUUGAUAGCCAGUUAUAAUAUUUGAAUCUAUAUUCUGUUAUGUAUGGUCAUUGGCAUUGGUGUUUAGUCCCUUGACUUCUAUAGCAGUCCAUGGUGACAUGAUGAAAAAGGAAAUGGAGGCAUCAGGCAAGUGCUCUGCUGGGGUCCAUGGCUUUGCAGUGAAGCUUAAUAUGAUUGACAUAUCUACUCAGCUAGAUUUACCGCCAGUCAUUCCGAGGGGUAGGCGGGGCUUACGUCGACCUAGAUUGCUACCUCCUCCACCACCUCUAUUUCCAGCUCUAGCCCCAUCACAGACAGAUGUUCUUCAUGUGUCACAUGCAGUACCUGCUACAGUUAGAGAGGGGCGUCCAAAAAGGAAGAGAGUAUCAGUUACACAUAGGUUUUCUCCUUGUGGAGGCAUGUGAGAUUAUAUAUGUUUUUUAUUUUCCACUAUAUUAAUGUUUAGUGGAUAUUUUUUGUGACUUUAAUUAAACUAUUAAAAAUUACAUUUUGUAGUA